rnacentral:rRNA from 1 species
AUUGAACGCUGGCGGAAUGCUUUACACAUGCAAGUCGAACGGCAGCACGGGUGCUUGCACCUGGUGGCGAGUGGCGAACGGGUGAGUAAUACAUCGGAACGUACCCAGUCGUGGGGGAUAACGUAGCGAAAGUUACGCUAAUACCGCAUACGUCCUGAGGGAGAAAGCGGGGGACCGUAAGGCCUCGCGCGAUUGGAGCGGCCGAUGGCGGAUUAGCUAGUUGGUGGGGUAAAGGCCUACCAAGGCGACGAUCCGUAGCGGGUCUGAGAGGACGGCCCGCAACACAGGAACUGAGAAACGGUCCAGCGUCCGACGGGGGGCAGCAGUGGGGAAUUUUGGACAAUGGGCGAAAGCCUGAUCGAGCAUUCCGCGUGAGUGAAGAAGGCCUUCGGGUUGUAAAGCUCUUUCGGCAGGGAAGAAACGGCUUGGGAUAAUACCCCGGGCUAAUGACGGUACCUGAAGAAGAAGCACCGGCUAACUACGUGCCAGCCGCCGCGGUAA